AUUAAACGCUGGCGGCAUGCCUUACACAUGCAAGUCGAACGGUAGCGCGGGGCAACCUGGCGACGAGUGGCGAACGGGUGAGUAAAGCAUCGGAACGUGCCCCGGAAUGGGGGAUAACGUAGCGAAAGUUACGCUAAUACCGCAUAUUCUGUGAGCAGGAAAGCAGGGGAUCGCAAGACCUUGCGUUCUGGGAGCGGCCGAUGUCGGAUUAGCUAGUUGGUGGGGUAAAGGCCUACCAAGGCGACGAUCCGUAGCGGGUCUGAGAGGAUGAUCCGCCACACUGGGACUGAGACACGGCCCAGACUCCUACGGGAGGCAGCAGUGGGGAAUUUUGGACAAUGGGCGGAAGCCUGAUCCAGCCAUGCCGCGUGAGUGAAGAAGGCCUC
rnacentral:rRNA from 1 species